CUUCUCCUUCUUCUCAUUCUAUCAAAAGUCUUGUUGACUCUACUACGAACAAGAAAAAGAAACAGAAGCAGUAGAAGAAGAAAAAGAAGACCAAAACAGUAGAACAACACAGUUCCAAUCAUGAAGGGAAAGUGCCACAAUCUACGGUAUUGAAUGACAGUAAUAAUAAUACUAAUGCUAAUAGCAGUCAAGAUGGUUGUGAUAAUCCUACAAAGAUAUAUGUGGGAGGAAUUCCCUAUUACUCAACCGAGGAUGAUAUUUUCAGAGCUGUGACACCAUAAUUGAAGUUGACAUUAUUAGAGGGAUUGACAUUAUUAGUGUUAAGGGUUUCAAGUUUCAACUUGAAUAAGUAUCCAACUUUCUCUUGUUUUUCACAAAUUUGGUUGCACUUGGGUACUGCUCCAGAGAAGAAGCACCAUCAGGCAACCCCCACAAGAGGAGAAGGAAACGAGAGAAAAAAAAGUGAGGGAAGAAACAGAUAGAUGUUGGAUAGAAAUAGAAACAAAAAAGGGGGGAUUUUUAACUUUAAUUUGUUACGGGGAGGGGAAGAGUUGAGUUGAAGAGGAUAGAGAGGAAGAUAAACAGGCAAGUCACAUUUGCAAAGAGAAGGAAUGGUCUUUUCAAGAAAGCUUAUGAGUUAUCUGUUCUGUGAUGCUGAGGUUGCCCUCAUCAUCUUCUCCAACAGAGGAAAACUCUAUGAGUUUUGUAGCAGCUCUAGCAUGAUGCCAUCAUCUUGAUGAUCGCUCAAAGAGUCAAAGUUAAGAACAAUCAUUCCCUUUUCAACUCAAACCUCUCGACGAAGAUCUUUCACCAAGAAUGCACGUAAAAGAAGAUGGGAGAUAAGAAGUGGCAAAAAAAAAAGGAAAUUGCUACAGAAACAAACUAAAGAACAUGAGACCUAUAGAAGUCAAAAGAAUAUGGAUUCAAUAGUUCAAAGGAGGUUUCUGUCACCAAUCAUUCAAGUAUUUGGUCAGAUAGCAAGUACGGAAGCACAAAUUACUAAGGAGUCAGUUGAAAAAGAAGUUUUAGAGGAAAAAAAGGAAGAGGUCAAACAGGCUCCACCUAGGCGUGUAGACAAUCCUUUUUCAAUCAUUCUUGACACACAUUCGGCAUUACUUAAGGCUCCAGAGUACAGGUCUAAGAUGUCAUAUUUUCAGAGACUUUAAAAGGAGACCAAAGACAAACAAUUUUUAAAGUUCUUGAAAAUUUUUAGAAAAUUACAAAUUAAUAUUCAUUUUGGUAAAGUUUUAGAACAAAUGCCUCUCUAUGUUAAAUUAUUUGGUAAAUAAUAAUUUACAUCUAUAUUUAUAAAUGUUUUACACACAAAAAAAAGAAUAUAAUGAGAAAAGGACAAAUAAGUCCCUGACCUUUUAACCCGCGGACAUUUUCGUUCCUGACCAUUGGAAAAUAUUUUUAAGUCCCUGACGUCCCUAAAAAUUAGACGGAUCAGUCCUUCCGUCCAUAAGUCACCGUCAGACCCAACGGAAAAGACGGACUUGGCUCCCGUUCUGAUGACUUGGCGUCAUAGAUACACACGUGGACUGAUGAGUCAACAUGAUAGUUUCAAAAAUUGGACAAAUAAGUCCCUCAACCCUAAAACUACGUCGUUUCCCGUUUGGCCCUAAAUAACCCAUUCUUCUUCCUCCUCCUCUUCUGUAAGGACCCCGUCUGCACCGCCCUUGGGGCUGCGGACGGCGGGGCCAACUUCAAGGAUGACGUUUGGUCCAGGCCCAGCGGCGGUGGCGGCAUCAGCAGGGUUCUCCAAGACGGGGCCAUUUGGGAGAAGGCUGGAGUUAAUGUCUCUGUUGUUUACGGCAUCAUGCCGCCAGAAGCUUACCGCGCUGCAAAAGCUGCUGCUUCUCCUGACCAGAAGCCUGGUCCUAUUCCGUUCUUUGCCGCUGGAAUCAGCUCCGUUUUGCAUCCGAAGAACCCAUUUGCCCCAACCUUGCAGAUUAUGAUUUUCCAUCCUUGUUUCGGAGCUAUUUCUCAUACCAUUAUUGCUACUGUUGUCUGCCAAUGACUUAUACUCAGGUUGGGAAAGCAAAUAUUUAAGAAAGGCUAGAUAGAGCAGUGGCAAUAAUAAAUUGGAAGGAAGCAUUUCUAGAAGGAGUGGUAAAGAAUUUUCAAAGAUACAGAUCAGACCAUUGUCCAAUCCUAAUCGAUGUUCAUGGGGAGAACUUAAAAAGGAAGAGGCCAUAUAUUUUCAGAUUCGAAGAAUGUGGCUUAGAGACUCUGAAUGCAAAGAGAUUAUCAAAAGAAGCUGGGCUGUGAACUAUGAUCAGAUUGAAGAGAAACUAGGAAAGUGCAGCAAAGCAUUGCAAGAAUGGAGACUGAGUUGGAGAACUUCUGUGGAAAGAAUCCGUUGAAAUCAAAAGAUAUAUCCAGAAUUGUAAAUCACAACCACUUUACUAUUGGAUGUUCUACAUGAUUCUCUGAUCAUGGGUGAAGAGAUAUUUGGUCCAUUGCUUCCCAUCAUCACGGUGAAUAAAUUGGAAGAAAGUUUUGAUCUGAUCAAUUUAGGAACAAAGUCUCUGACUGCAUAUAUAUUUUACAAAUAACAAGAAGUUGAAAGAGCAGUUUGUGAAGAAUGUUUCUGCAGGGGGAUGCUUGUCAAUGACAUUGCCUUACAUCUUAUUGUUCCAUCUCACUCACAAAUUGAAGAAACAAUUCUGAAUUUGAAAAGGACACAGGCAGACUUAGACGAACUCUUCUAUCAAGAAGAGAUUAAAUGGGCCCAAAGAUCUCGUGUGAACUUGUUGAAAGCGGAAAAUAAGAACACUCGAUUUUUUCAUCAGCAGGCAUCUCAACAAAGAAGGAAUAAAACUAAAAGAAUCACUGAUGACGAAAGGAAUCUCUAUAAAGAAGACGAGAAACAGAGUAUAUGGUUCUCCCUCUUCGACAACAAAUGCACACCGAAACCUUCUCAGUCUGGAUGGUGGUUUUUUUUGGAGGGAGAACCAGAGUAUUUCUGUGUUUGAUCUUUGGUCUUCCUUAGGGUUUAAUUAUGUAAAAACUCUGUGGGUGUAAUAGGAAUUGUACACAAGGAAACGGAUGAGAGUGUAUAUAAGGGGCAGAAUACAAAAGGACGUCGUUUUGAGUGACAGGGACUUAUGUGUCCCUUUUUCAAAAGCUUCAUCCCACUAAUAUGCCACGUGGGAACGCCGUUAAGCCAAGUAAGCAGAGAGGGAGCCAGGUCAGCCUUUUUCGUUGGGUCUGACGGUGGCUUAUGGACGGAAGGAUUGAUCCGUCUAAUUUUUAGGGACGUCAGGGACUUAAAAGUAUUUUCCAAUGGUUAGGAACGAAAAUAUCCGCAGAUUAAAAGGUCAGGGGCUAAUUUAUCCUUUUCUCGAAUAUAAUUUACAUAUAUUUACUAAAAUU